rnacentral:rRNA from 1 species
GACGAACGCUGGCGGCGUGCUUAACACAUGCAAGUCGAGCGGUAAGGCCCUUUCGGGGGUACGACGAGCGGCGAACGGGUGAGUAACACGUGGGUGACCUGCCCUCAGCUCUGGGAUAAGCCUGGGAAACCGGGUCUAAUACUGGAUAUGACUCCAUGACGCAUGUUGUGGGGUGGAAAGCCUUGUGCGGCUGAGGAUGGGCCCGCGGCCUA